AUUGAACGCUGGCGGCAGGCCUAACACAUGCAAGUCGAACGAGUGGCGGACGGGUGAGUAAUGUCUGGGAAACUGCCAGAUGGAGGGGGAUAACUACUGGAAACGGUAGCUAAUACCGCAUACCAUCGGAUGUGCCCAGAUGGGAUUAGCUAGUAGGGGAGGUAACGGCUCACCUAGGCGACGAUCCCUAGCUGGUCUGAGAGGAUGACCAGCCACACUGGAACUGAGACACGGUCCAGACUCCUACGGGAGGCAGCAGUGGGGAAUAUUGCACAAUGGGCGCAAGCCUGAUGCAGCCAGGCCGCGUGUAUGAAGAAGGCCUUCGGGUUGUAAAGUACUUUCAGUGGGGAGGCGUUACCCUCAGAAGAAGCACCGGCUAACUCCGUGCCAGCAGCCGCGGUAAUUC
rnacentral:rRNA from 1 species